GACUCCAUAGCUAAGCGGUUAUAGCGCGAGAUUGCAGAUCUUGAGGUCACGUGUUCGAUUCACGUUGGGGUCU
rnacentral:tRNA from 1 species